AAAAAAAUCCCCUUACAUAAAAAAUGGCUGACUUUAUUAUUUCAGCACCCCCCCCCUCCCCUUUCACUCUGUGCGGCCCCUCCCUCCCCCAAAAGCUCCACAUUUGUUACUGUGCAGUGAAAGGGGGGUUGCGACUAACGUUGUUUUUUAUACUUGUUUGUGUGCCCCCACCUCCCAGACCGAGCUUGUGUGCCAUCCCUCCCCCACCCCCCCCCCACCCACCCAUUAUCCUCAGAAUUGUGGUGUCACUUUCUGCAUUGCAGAGCAAAUCCAUCAAACAUGGCCCCCACCACUGGAUUUUAAAAAAAUAUUUGUGUGUGUGUGUGCUGGGACAGGAUUAAGAAAAGAAAAAGGGGGUGGUGGGUGGUUGUUAGGAAAAAAAAAUAAAAAAUCUGCCGCAGCCAUGCCCAUGAUUUACAUCAGAUUGUAUUGCUUAAAAAAUUAACCGCUUGUGGUGAGGAUGGAAGUCAGUGAGAGGGGAUGCGAGCCCUUGUUGGGUACCGUUUCCGAUGGCAACCGAUCAAACGCUAACAUCGUUGCUAACAACAACGCAGUUGCUUGACAAGAUAGCGGCCCGAGGCCGCUUGAAGUUGAAGUAUUCAGAAGCGAUGAAAUGCUGACAAGCUAGCACUUGGUGUGCUAACGUUAGUAUUGCGACCCGAGUAACAACAAAAUCUCCAUGGCAGAUAAAUAAGAAUUUUACAUCCUGUCAUGUAAUCAGAUGCUAUUUCUAAUGAGUUGAUCAAAUGUUAACAUGCCAGCAGUUGCUAUGCUAGCAGAUGGCAACCCAAGCACACAAAGCGCUACAAUGCCACUGAACGGGUAUUUUACACCUCGCCGUGUACGCAGCCGGUGCUAUUUGUAACGGCAAGUGAUCAAAUGCUAGCAUGCUAACAGGUGCAAUGCGAACGCAAGGCACCAAAGGACAGUGGCUGCAUUGUUGACCGUCUAAUACAAAAGCUCAGGCUGCCCUUGAAGACCAACACAGAAUACAGAAAUGUCAUGAGGGCCAAUAGUGGCUGCAGUGUGCACUUGUUACAUGAAAUUAAAUACCGGAAUGGGAGAAGGAUGUAUGAAAGGUACGAAGGAAAGGAUGUUGGAAGGAUGGAAGGAAGGAGAAUGGUGGUAUGAAAAGGAGGUGGAAAGAAGGAAGGGAGGGAGGAAGGAAUGGAGGGUUGAAGGAUGGAUGAAGGAAACGAGGGUGGUAUCCAAGGGACGACGAAAGAGGGAAGAGUGGAAUGGAUAGAAGGAACAAAAGGAAGAAAAGAAGGGCAGAGGAAGGAAGGAUGGAAAGAAGAGUGGAUAGAAGGUAGAACGGAUUGUUGCAAGGAAAGAAGGAAGGGAUGAAGUUAGAAGGGAUUGGAGGGUGGAAGGAUGGAGGGAAGGAUGGAGGUAAUAUAGAAGGAGCGAAAGAAGGAAGGAAGGAAGCAAACAAGAAAGAGAGAGAAGGAGAAAAGAAAGACAGACAGAAAGAAACAACCAUGGUAUGAAAGGGAGGGAGGGUGGAAGACAGGAAGGGACAGAGGAAGACAAUGGAAGGAAGGUAUAAAAGAAGGGAGGAUGGAACAAAGGAAUGAAGGAAUGUGAAAGAAAGGAGGAGGCUCAUCGCCAGUUUCUGGCUCUCCACGGGCCAAAACCCAAAAUUGAAACUUCAACCUCUGUUUUAAAACCCUAAAAAUGGUUUCAAACCACGAUUGGUUAUGCAUGUCAUGACCACAAGUGACCACUAAGAGUCGCUGUUUAACAAAAGUUGCGUAGGAAAACAUCCGUGUGUCAACUACUUCCGGCAGGAAACCACAGAAGAAGAAUGCACACAUGGCAACAAUCGAGGAAAACGGACCACCGACUCAUGACCAGCGUGACGCGUCGUCGUCGUUCCAGGCGAGGGAGAAGCUCCAGGGCCUGCUGAACAAGAACAUGAGGAUCCGUAUGACUGACGGCCGGACCUUGGUGGGCCUUUUCCUCUGCACGGACCGCGACUGUAACAUAAUCCUCGGAUCGGCUCAGGAGUUCCUCAAAUCCACAGACACUUUCUCCCAGGGUGAACCCCGAGUUCUGGGCCUGGCCAUGAUCCCGGGUCACCAUGUUGUCUCCAUCGAAGCCGAGGCAGACACGCUGGACGACGCGCAAGAUUUCGGAGUGAACCAUUCGGAAAUGGACCUUUGAUAGUGGAAGAAUGGCCGUUUUCUUUAGUUUUUUUUUCUUUUUAAAUACCUUGGACAGCAGGGUGAAUAACUUAAAUUUGAUGUAUGUUAUUAAUGUCUUUUGGGUGGUAAACGUUGGAGUCUAGCAAAUUUGAGUUCAUGAGGCUGUAUUCUCUUUGCAGAGUCAAUAACUUGAGUUAUCCCUGCAGGAAGAACUGAACUUCUGAAAUGGGACUCUUGCGCCGGAUUUGAAUGAGUGACGACCGUGAUUACCGGGGAGCUUACCCACAGCAGAGUGGUAGUGGGACAAGGCUUCAGCCAGCUGACCGGCUGCCAAAAGUUUGCGGCCCAUCUCCAAGUGAUGCUCAAUCUCGCCGCCAGUCGCCCCCAACACGCCUGGAACCCGUCGCGGUCGUGGUGAAUAAUCAAACACGCUCCCAGCGAGCAUUAGACACAGCGACGUGUGCCGCCUUACCGUCCAGGAUGACACAAAGCAGCGACAAGGAGCCCAGCACCCCGCCCGGUCCGGUCAAGCGGCCCCAGUCCAUACCGGCGACGGUUGAUCAAUUCACGUAAAACGACGUGGAACUCAUUGAAACGCUAUCCUGCCAUGAAAGCGUUCUCCCGACUGGAAUUGCUCGGAGGAAACGACGAGCCGAGUUUACGGUCCGGCUGUGCCAAAGUUCCGUGUGAAAACGCAAUGCUCGGCAGGAAGGUUCCCGCACGAGACCUGGCGCGUUUAACGCAACGUUUCGCAUCAGGUAAAUAAAUAAAUAGUAACUUCGAUUUGACGUCUUAGGAAGGAAAUAACUCGUACAUACACGCAAAAAAAUAUAAAAGUAUUUUUUUGUGUGCGGUAUACGGCGACCCCGCCCCUUACGCAGUUUCCUCGAUAUGAUUGGUCCGUAUGGCAGCACAUUCGCUUCUGGUUCGAGACGCGGCCUCUUCUCAUUGGACAACAAGCGGCACGUGGCGUUCACGCGCAAAAACAAAAGAAAAAAACAUCCCGUAAAAUCGAUUCAAAUUAACUGACGUUGAGAAGAACUAAUUCCCCUAGAAUUCAACAUUUGUCAAUUGAUUCAAACCGUUCCGAUGUCAGUGUUAUGUGCUGAAAAUGUGUUGUUUAUUAUUUUUCACCUUCCCACGUCGUUUCAAUUAAAAAAAACUAAUUAUCAGACAAAAUGAACAAAUUCACCUUAAAAUCAGCAUUUCAAAUUCAAAAUGUUACAACAUUCCCACCAAAAAUCCUUGCUUCUUUUUUGGCCAUACAUUUGUAUUUGUUGUUGUACAACUCAAAUGACAAAAUUAAAAGCAAUGUUCAACAUGCACAGUAUGUUUAUUGUGCGUAAUUGUAAAAAGAAAUGUACAAAAAACACAUGACUCGAGAAUCAAAUGAAUAGAUUUACACAUGUGAAUACUGGACAUAAAUAACAUUGCGGAACAUCGAGUACAAAAUAUAACAAAACAAUGAGUCUAUUCCACUAGAAAAUGUAAUCAUUUGAUGAGUAUAAAAAGAAAGAUUCCAUUCA